rnacentral:rRNA from 1 species
UGGGGAAUAUUGCACAAUGGGCGAAAGCCUGAUGCAGCGACGCCGCGUGAGGGAUGACGGCCUUCGGGUUGUAAACCUCUUUCAGCAGGGACGAAGCGCAAGUGACGGUACCUGCAGAAGAAGCACCGGCUAACUACGUGCCAGCAGCCGCGGUAAUACGUAGGGUGCAAGCGUUGUCCGGAAUUACUGGGCGUAAAGAGUUCGUAGGCGGUUUGUCGCGUCGUUUGUGAAAACCAGCAGCUCAACUGCUGGCUUGCAGGCGAUACGGGCAGACUUGAGUACUGCAGGGGAGACUGGAAUUCCUGGUGGAGCGGUGAAAUGAGCAGAUGUCAGGAGGAACACCGGUGGCGAAGGCGGGUCUCUGGGCAGUAACUGACGCUGAGGAACGAAAGCGUGGGUAGCGAACAGG